rnacentral:lncRNA from 1 species
GUAUAGGAACAAAGAACAACAACAGAAAAACCCACUCCUUUAAAGUAUGUACUUUUCUAUGGCCUUGGAUUUCAUUUUUCUUUGCCACCCCGUGCCUCACCCCCAGAGUUCUCAGACAGGCCACACAUCUUCCAUCUUUCUACCCCUACAUCCUUCCUAUUUCUCAGAAAGCAAAAUCCAUUUACCUCCCCCUGGCCUUCCUCUCUCAUCCCAUUCCUCCUCAUGUAGUGUGAUUUGGAGAGUAGCUUGACUUUAAUUGUCUGCAUCUCAUUUGACUCAAGUUUCAGAGGGACACCCUUGUUCAGAGUCUGACUCUGUCCGAAAACAUACCAGCUGGGAGUCACACAAAACUGAGUUGGACCACGAUGCCUCCCUCAGCUGAGUGACCUUGGGAGCGAGCCUCAGUGCUUUGAACGCCUCCUGCUCCAUCACAGUGACUGCUCAAGGCAGGACACCUGAUCCUAUCGGAAUCCACCCACGGGAACCAGCAAGUGAUUCUUGAACAUUUAUGCCAGAGAAAUGAAGACUUAUCUUGACAUGAAAAUGAAUGGACGUUUAUUUGUAAUAGCCAAACCUGGAAACAAUCCAAGUGUCCUUCAACAGAUAAUCCAAGACGGAGGAGAAGCAUCUCCAUGGCACCUCACUCUGAUUUGCGAGGAUUUGGCCAGAGAAACUGUUCUCAAGAGUGUGAAUUAGGUGGCAGCUACUAUUUUAUGGUACCUCGCUAUCCACUUUGUAAGGUACGAGUAACAACAACAACAAGCAAACCAAAUUACCAAAGCACAAAAAAAAAUGUGUUCAGUCAGUUACAAAAUGCUCCUCAGCCAGAGAAGUGGGCAUCUGACUCCUGGAGGGGCCCUUCAGCCUGUGGAGUAUUCUUGUGUGUUGCAGGUUUCACAGUGAGCAGAGGCUGUCUCUGAAAUGGGCAGAGAACCAGUGGGUUGUAGUAGUUUGCAUAUGGGGAGAAAGGGAGAGAAAGAGAGAGAGACUCUGUGUGUGUGUGUGUGUGUGUGUGUGUGGAUGUGUGGCUGAAUGUCAUCUGUGUGUCUGCACGCAACAUUGUGCCAAUGAAGUUGGACAUGCAUCUAUGUGUGGGAUGGGGUCCUGGCCUUGGCAACAAGGGGGUGUACGUGUGGGUGUGAGUGACAGCAGACUCAGAGUCCAGGCCCAGGGCCUCUGGGGACUGUCACCUGCAGGACUCAUCAUAGAGGAGACCAGGUGCUUGGAGUGUCCCCAAAGCAAUACAGAGUGCAUGGUCAUGAGUUUGAAAAAUAUUCCUGUGAGAGAUAUAAAUAAAGCCUCUAAGCCCAAAGCCAGAGUUUUCGAAAGCCAGCCUUACACACAAGAUAAUUUAUAGUUGCUGGUGUCCCUUCCCAUGCAUGACUCAGCUCUCCUAGCCCAAGUAGGCCCAGCCUGCUCCAGUAACCUUUGCUGAAAGGGAAGAGUUGAAGCAAACUCCAAGAAGCCCAAUGAUCCAACCACCCAGCUCCCGGACUAGCUCCUGCUGAGCUCCCUUCCUCUGUUCCCUUUGGGCAAACUCCAACCAUGACAUGGAUGAACAGAUCCUGGAAACUGAGAAACCAGAGACUUGGGUACUCCCAGCUGGCUGGUCCUUGGAAGUCUAUUAAACUGGUUCCCGUAUACCUUCAGGAUCUUGGCGGAUUCUGCUACCCAUACAAUGGGUAUUGGCUCAAACACCCUUCCCACCACUCCCCAGCCUGCCUUCCAGCCAUUGGGAGGCAGCAAAAUCAGAACAAAGACCUGCUUGAAGCUAGAGAGUUUUUCUCAGUCUCAGAGACUCUUGAGCCCAACAGGAAGAAUAAAAAUGAGAGCACUUUUACCUUUUAUUUAAAAGACAGUAUAUACCCAUGUCAAGUGUCAAAAAUAUGGCUAAAAAGAGGGAUAAAUAGUGACAUGCUUAAACAUUGUGGUGAAUUUGUGGGGGGAGGCAGCCAGCAAGGAACAGGGUUAGUUUUUUCAAUUUUCUCCCUAUAUUCCUCACUUCCCACCCACCUUCUUUCGUUAUAUUUUUAGCAGACUCUUUGGCCAACCACGUCCAAAGAGACAGAUGCAAGUACAGAGAGUGCAUACUGAAACCAAAGGGUGUUUCUUUUUCUUCUUUUUUUCUUAAAAACCUUCCAGGAGUGUGGAAAGGACUGGAAGUGCUCGAAGGUCUUUUUAGCCACAUGCCUUACCCCAACUGGGAUCUGGAACAUUUUUAUGCCAAGGCCCAUAUGCCUGAUUGUCCAAGUAUAGGGGAAAAAAAUAUCAUUCAGGGCUUUAAAAAAUAGUUUAGCUUUUUGAUUAAACUGCUAAACAGCCUUGAAUAAAAUAUUUUUUUUGCUGCUCUAGCAGAUGAAUUUGUGCAACUGGCCUAAUUUUAAUACAGGAUCCAACACAUAAUAGGUAUGUAAUAAUUGUUGAAUAGAUGGAUAAUUCUUUAACCCUGUAAUGAAGUGUCCUCAUUCAACAUGCAUUUAUUAAGCCACUCUUUGGGUGUGUACAAGUGUGUAUCCUCAAAGGCUUCUUCCUGCAAUAACAUUCUAUAAUUCUGUGACCUAUAUUCUGAGUAAGUCAUAUGCUGAUUCUUUGAUUAAUCUGGGGGAAGGAAGUUUCAAGUUAGCCAAGUUAAAACACACAUACACGCUACACUCCAAACCUACACAAACCUACUUCUUAAAUGAUAGAAAGCGGAGGACCUUGGUAGCUGCAUAGCUAAAACCACAGAAUUUUGCCUGGUUUGGCCUGGCCUUGUUGGAAGUGCACAGAGCCUACUCUAGAUCCCAUAGCUCAGUCUUUUGAAGUUCUUCUUUUGUUCCUUGCCUCCUCUUCUUUCUGAUCUUUCCAUUCAGGGGUGGUCAUCUUCCACAUUCUCAGUUUCUGAAAGCCCCCUGUUCUCCUAGUCACCCCUGUCUUUUCCCAUCUUAAAAAUAACAAAGGCUGUGUGUCAUUCAUAUGUGCGGAUUGAUCUGCACAUGUGGAUGAAUUUGAUUUAGAGAUCCUUGCAUGUUAUUGGAAGGUAACAGACUAACAGAGAGGCGAAGAGACUCCCAAGAUCACACAGCUAUUGAAUAGCAGCAAUCUAGCCCAUUGUUCUGAUCUGAAAUUGAUCUAUAAUUCUCAAGUGAGAGCUACAGAUACAAUUCCACAAGCCUGCCAAUUAGGAGACUUGAGGUGGCCUUGAGGCUGAGUCAAGCCAAUCUUUCUGCCCUUUUGAUAGCUGGUCACUCCCCUUGGAUCUAUACUAUUUGCUUCAGCUUCUAGUGAUUUCUUCUACUCUGUUUGGGAUAUUCACACUGUAUUAGGAAUUUAUAGACCUGGAUGGGCCCACCAGAUGUCAUCUGCUUUCUGAAGUUCUCAAUCACCAGGCAGAAUUCCAGCCCCAGCAAUCCUUUGUUCUGAAGGAUAUAGGGAGGCCCUUCAGUAAGAAAAUCAGUCUGAAUUUCUGUUUUUCCCUCCAGAAUGACAGUGGCCCCUUCUGUUGGGUUUGCAACAUUUACUCUGGAAGCCCCCACUGCACGCUUACCCUAAUCAUCUGCAGGUCUUGGCUGAGCAUUUAGAGAUUCAGAAUACCAUAUUGGGUACAACAAGGGUCUCCUGGAGCCAAAAAGAUACAAACUUUCAAUCCCACUGGUUAGGGUUGGAAGGAAGACAAAUACACAGAAGAUUCUGUUGUUCCGAUGAAAGGGAUCUCUGUGUCUGCACAGCGAUGACAGGGAAUGGUGUUUGGUCUCAAACAGCACGUUUCUGACCCGAUUGACUUGGAAGAUGGGCUGCUCUUGCAUUGCGGCCCAUGCCAAGGUCACGGGGACACAUGACCACUGCAGGGAAGGAAGAUCUGUAUUCUCUGGCGAAAAUUCACAUGAGUGGGGAAGGAGAGGAGGAGGUGGCAUGCAGAGAGAGGGGCCAUCCCACUUUGCAAAUCCCUCCUCCAGCUUUGUCACUGCUCCCCACCCCUCAAGUUAGAAGCACCAGCAGCAUGGGCCAGACCAGGGCCAGCUGAUUCUGUGGCCUGUUUAUACCCUGUAACCAGAGCCUGUUCUCAAAGAGGCUGCCUGACAGCUGCAGAUGUAAGGGGAUGGACCAACACUUCCAGAGAUUGAGUGACGCGUGCUGGUGUCCAUCUCAGGGGCAGCUUAGCCUGACAAUCUUCUCAAGCCAGGGGAUGGGAGUGGGAAAAGGUGGAGCAGGCUACCAGUUAGUGCUCAUGGUGGCGGGACCUUGGAGCCUGCUAUUGAGCUUGUGUGCUCCCUCCAGCCCCUAGUCUGCCAAUGGGAUUGCUUUCUUCAGGGUCAAGGCAGGUGAAAGAGGAGUUCUGCAUGUUUCAUUGGUUUAUUUUUCCCACUCUUUAUCUUUGUCAUUACAGAAAACAAAAAGAACACAUGAUGAGGCUCUGGGUCAGCCAGGAUUCUAGAUUCUGCUGCCAGACACAUCUUACAAGGAUACUGCGUGUGUCCUGGGCGGAGGAGGAGAGCCAUAUGCAAGCCUGUAGUACAGUCCUAUGAGCAAAAACUCAGACAUCUUUGAGCGAUAGAAGAGACAACUGGGCCGGGGGCCAGUUCAGUGCGGACCUACAUUUCAACCACCAUGAUGAAGGUUUGGGGCUGUUAUGAUCACAUUUGCCUUUUACUUCUCAUAAUACUGAGAUAUACCUGUGAGAAUACAGCUGUGCUAGAGAAGCCAGGACUGAGAAGUAAUUUAAUAUUCAUCCUUAAGUGUCAGGAAGGUUAUUAUGGGAAGGAAGGUGACAAGCUACUCCUCCCUGAGCUCAGAGCAUGAAGAGAUGGAUGUGAACCUCUACAAAUGAGACUUAGGUUACAGUCAUGGAAGACAUAGUGAGCUUCAUCUGAGUCCUGUUCUCCAGCCUGUCUUGGACACUGUACCCCCCAUCUGUUAGUAGAGUGGCAACGUGGUCUAGAAAGAGCACUGGGCAAGGAACCCCGGAGUCCUGUAGAGACCUUUUAGCUGCCAUGACCUUAGACAUGCCAGAUGUGUCCAUUUAUGGAUCUCAUUUUCUUCUCUUUUUUAAAUAAGGAAGGUCAUGGUUUAUGGUCUCUGAGCUUCUUCCUUCUACUUCAACCACUGGUUCUAUGCUAAGUCUAAGUGUUGGAAUGUAGAUACUCUUGAGUGUCUUCCUAAGCCUGAAUCAGUUGUCUGUAACCCAGGUCGAUAUACUAGCUGCUGUAGCAAACAAAUCUCAAAACAUACAAUGGCCCAUGCAUGGUAGAAAUUUACUUCUUGUUCACAAAAGGUCUAAAAUGUGUUUCCCUAAUGAGCACGCCAUUUUCCUCCAAGUGGUGAUACAGGGAAGCAGGAUCUUUCCUGUUUGAGGUUCUUACAUCUUAGGUACUUGGCUCCAAGGGAGCCAUGCUCAUUUACAUCGAGCUGGUGGAAGAGGAAAAAGCACUAGGCAAUUGAGCCUGAGAGAUUUUUAAGGACUGACUAGGAAGGGUGUGCAUUAUUUCCGGUCAAAUUCCACUGGUGAGAAAUCACUCACAUAGAAACAUCUAAAUACAGGAGAGCCUGGGAAAGGUAGUUCAGCUCCGUGCCCAGGAAAAAGAGGAAAUGGAUUUAGCCAAUAGGAAUCAAUCUGUGCCAUAGAGAGGAGAGUUUAAAGGAGAAAGUAUUAUGUGAAUUGAAGAAGAGUAAGAUUGAGGUAAUGUUAAUUAUCUUCCUCUUUCUGAAGAGCUAGAAGUCCUCAGCUGCUGAAGGAUGGCAGGGCCUGGGCUUAAAAAUGUUUUCUGGCCCACAAGGAAGAGCCAUGAGCAAAGACUCAAGAUGCACUAGAUUCUAGUUUGGUUGUCUCAAACUAGCUAUGGGACUGAAUAUAAUUUAUCUGACCAUUGUGCUUACAGUUUCCUCAUCUGUCAAUGGUAACCAAAAUGCAUACUCUAACUACCUAACAGAAUUGUUUUAAAAGUCAGGUAUAGCAACAUCAUGCACAUUUUGUAAAAACAAAACAAUGAUUAAAAUAGAGAAUGAGUUUAAAUUGCAGAUGGAGAAAAUUAAAUUGGGUAAGGAAAAAAGAAACAACUUUCCCCAUAGUGAAACAGGGAAAAUUUUUAGAGAAUGUGCAAAUAACUUCAAGAAAUCAGUGGGAAACAAUUUUGACAAGAGUGGAAAGAAAACUCCAACUGGAAAGAUAGCUUGUGGGGGUCAGCACAGGAGACGUGGACUGUGGUUCUGGCACUACACGCAGAUUGCUGUUUGACCUUGACUGAGUCUCUUCCCCUCUUGGGGCUUCAGUUUCCCCUUUGUGAAACAAAAGCAUUGAACUAAAUAAUCUUGCUAGGGUCUCAUUCUCAAAUGUUAUACUUCUGAUUGUGCGCUCAAUCCUGUCUGGAUUCAAGGAUCCAAAAGGCUUUAAGACACAGUCAAUUGCCAGGCUGGCAUUUCAACAUGGAUGUCCAAAAGGCAUCUCCAGCCUCUCAUGUGCAUCCAAAGCCUUAGGUUGUCUUCCUUUCCCAGAAGGUUCCUCCUGCGGCACAGCCUUCCACACUUCAGGAAAAGGGCGGCUACUCUGGGGGUCCGCCUUUAUCCUCAGUGCCGCACACAGCCUGCAAUCCAUCAACCAGCAUGUCCCGUCACUCCGCCUUCAAAUCUCACCUCCUUCCUGCCAUCAGCUCGCACCUGUGCUGUGCACCUGCCUCACAAGGGCUCUCCUUGAGCCCACUCUCACCGCUCUCCAUCUGUUCCUCACUCAGUCGUCAGGGUGAGCUCUUUAUCCUUUCCUUCAUUCAAAAUCUCCCAAUGGCUUCUCGUCGCAUUGGGAAUAAAAUCAAAAUCCUUGCCUUGGCCUGCGCAGGUUCUUGACCUCACUUGUAGCUCUCUCCUGCUUCUCCUGACCACCCCCGCUUUGGCCGUAGCCAGUUUGGCUGCUUUUCAGCAUGUGGGGCUCAGUUUGGUCUCACGGCCAUUGCACUUGCUGUGUUUGGGGCACUUUCCUUCCAGAUCUUCUUCCGGUUCCUUCCUUUGCUCCAUUCCCAUCUCAAUUCAGAGGUCCCUUCUUUCAGGAGGCUUCCUUCUCUAGCUCCUAAUCCAUUGACCUCUAGUUCUCCAUCCUUCUCUAGCUCCUAAUCUAUUGAUCUCUCUCUCUCACCCUCACCCUGACUUAUUUCUCCUUAAGGCACUUAUCACUCCCUGACAUUAUUUUAUUUCUUUAUUUGCGUAUUUUCUGUCUCUCUCCACUAAGAUGUGAACUCCAUCAGUGCAGAAACUUUUCCUGUCUUGUGUACAACUGUAUCCCUUGUGACGUCUUGUAAGCAUUCAAUAAAUGUUAACUAAAUGAGUGAAUGAAUCAAGGAGGAGAAACUGACCAUAGGGCCUCUGCAGAGCAGCAAACAUUCUUCCACAAAUGGAGGAGAGCUGGGGACUUGGUUUUCUGGCCAGAGGUGAAGCUGGCCCAUCCCCCUCCAGCCUGGAGUGCAGGCAUUUGUGCAGGGCAUGGGUCUCUGACACUGCGAGCCAGUUGUCUCUGCCCCAUGGCUCUGAUCAGAUCCAGGCACUUGGGGUUCUGUGCUUCUCUGCUUUUCUCUUUUUAGGCGGUACUUGGCUGACCUCCCAGGGGGUAUAGCUGGCUUCUUCUCUAAGCCACUUGUUCUUGCUGUUAAGAAAUGACUAAGCAGAUUCUCCAUCUCCUGGUAGCCAGCUGCCAGCCUGCGAGACUUGAUGCUUUUCUGAAAGAGGGCCCUUCUUUUGCUCUGUGUUCAGAGAAAGCACGAAGCAGACAUCACCAUCAUUGCCUCCUUUGCAAUGGCCUGACUCACCUCCUCUUGGUGUGUGGCUCUAGGCUGACCCCCACAAGGAAGAGGGAGGCAGAAAUUGGUAUGAUUACUACCCUCAGGACUCAGCGUCCAAGUCCUGCUGGAUAUUAGAGAAUGACUGGUUGAGAAUAUUCAGAUGGUGACCUAAUCAUACCGGCACCAUUUUUACUGACAGAUUGCUAAGUGCCAGGCAGCAUGCUAACCUCCCUAGGUACCUUAGCUCAUUUGAUUCUUGCAAUCACCUUGUGAGGUAAGUACUGUGACUUUAUAGGUGAGGAAAUGGAGGCAAAGGAAAGUUGAGGAACUUGCCCAAGGUCAUAUGGCUCAGCAGCGGCGGCUGCAUAGAAGCACAGGACCCUGUUUUCAAUAUGCUUGCCUGUCUUGUCCAGGGUGCUUCUACACAGUGCUGCACAGGCAGCUCCUAAAGCUGCGUGCAGCAGGAGCACAAAGAAAACCCCAAGUAAUUCUUCCGAGGGUCUCUGCCGCCACCUCCUUAGUUUACUUCAGGAAGACCUCUGCCAAGUUCAGUGUGAAAUUAACAAAUUUAAUGUGAAAAACUGGUUUAGAAGUGAAAUGGAUUGUGGACUACUGGGUAUAAAUAAAACUAGAAAGAACUUUGCAGAAUCAUUUAUACGUUGACAUUUAUUGCAAAUCAUCAGGAGAGUGGUGUAUCAAACUGUCAUUCCUAAGUUUAAUUGACCAGGGAAUAUGUUUUUUUUUCCCCUUAGGAGUAUCUUAGGGGCUAGAGUUCCAAGAACACUCUUCAGAAAUUGCUGAACUGUGCAGAUAUACCCACUGACCUAUAAAGAUGCCUUGGGCAUUCCUCUUUCUAUUCCUUUGCCCACCCCACUUUCUCCAUCUGGAAUCCAUCCUCUGUCUGUCCAUAGAUCCGUCCAUCCAUCCAGUAAACAUCUACUGUGUUCCAGGCACUAUACAAGGUGCUUUCUCCUAAGUCAUCUUGUUAAUUUUUGCCACAGCCCCAUUCCAUAGAUAAAGAGGUGAUAGAGACAGGAGACAGACAAGGGUCCCUGGCGAAAACCCACCUAAAACCUAAAACAAUCCUGAAGGCUGAAAAACCGGACUGCUGGUCCUGGAUGAAGUCCACCCUUUCCUGAUUGGUUCUGUCUGAAUAAUGCGCACCAAAGGAAGCAGGUGGAGCAGGGAGGAGGAGUCUGGCCUCUUCAGUUCCUAUGUAGUGGCCUGGGAUUCAGUCUGCAAGGUGCGGGCCUGCUAGCAGGACUCUCUCGCUUUGCUGAGAGUUCCUCUUUCCUUUUUCCUUUUUCACCCAAUAAACCCUUCCUCGCAUCUCACCCUACAAUGUGUCCGUGAGCCUAAAUUUUCCGAGUAGUGUGAAAAGAACCUGUUUUUUUUUCCUGCAACAGAGGCAACAUAUCAGCAGACCACAAAGCUGGACAGUGAAAGGGCUGGGAUUAGAAUCCAAAUUUCCCAAUCCGGAUUCCAGAUUGUUUUUUCUUCUAUUCUUCAGUUUUUUGUCCUGUAGUUGCUUAUUCAUAUUUUCUCAAUUUGUCAAAAUCCUAACUCAAACUUCGUUUCCUUCAGAAAUUCAUGUUUCCCUUUCUUCCUAUGUGCUAUGCACAGAGAAACUUCUCCGUCUUCUAAACCCCCUCCAGACCAUCUCUAUCCAGAUUUGGCACCCACUUCAUCAGGUUCCCGGUUAAGAAGUGAGUGUGUGUGUGUGGGUGUCUUGGAUCUCCAGUGGUGUGUAAGCCAAGCACUUGGCACACAUCAUCUUUACUUGACACAUCAGCCUUGUGGGAGAGGUACCAUUACACUCAUUUUGUAGAUGACAGAACUGAUGCACGACGAGGUUCAGGCACUUGCCCAACAUCACCAAGCAAGUCAGUGAUGAAGCUAGGAUUUGAGCCUCAGUCUUCUGGCCCCAGAAUCCACAUUCCUUCCACUAUUCUAUGCUGAACCCCUUGUUGAGCCCCUAGUUUCAUAGCUGAGAAACUGAGGCCCAUGGAAGGACAGUGGCUAGCCCCGAAUCCCACAGCUGUGAAUAGCCGUGCUAAUACCACGUGCAAAGGCUCACAUCCGGGAACCUUUCUUCUCCAGCAGGCUGCCUCCCCAGGUCUAAUGCAGGUCCCAGCUAUUGCUGCCAGUUGGUUCCUGUUACCUGGAUGCCAUGGAAAUUGUACCUUGUAGCUCUUGAUACAGCAGGAGCCUGGUGGCUGCUCCCUGGGGGAGAGCCAAGGAAGGUCAGAGUACUAGCCUGCAAACCCAGCACCUAAAAUAUACCAGGCAGCAACCCCAGUGGAAACCAGGCAGCAAGCCAAGAGCAUGACAUAACCUUCCCACAGCUCAGGGCUGGAGUCGGCUUCCAGCUCCAAGGUUCCCUGGGUACAGCGCCUAACAGAGCACACGUGCACUUCAGGGCUGCGACUUCUUCCUUUUAUUUUAAAGAAAAUGAGUUUCUUUUACUCUGGUUCUAGAAUUGAGGGCUGGCAGGAAUUGAGGGAGCUAAGAGCCAGGAGACCCUUGGACCAUGGUGGGGAAGGGGCAAGGAAUAGGCUUCAGAUUGCUGGUUUCCCAAUUUGAAUGUUCAUCUGGACACUGGAAGAGCUUUCAAAAGUGAUCCAGGUUUCAUUCCAGACCUACAGAAUCAGAAUCCCUGGGGACAGGGCCUGGGAAUCGGUAUUUGAACAUGUUCUCCAGGUGAGUCUCUUCUGGUUCAGGUUUGUGAACUACCUUCCCAAAUAUGCCUCUUCAUGGCUAUCUCCAUUUGCUGGUAGUCCACCAGAUCUCCAUCUCCCAUCCUCAACUCACACUUAGUACACUUUUUUUUUCACCUGUGAAAUUUAAAUUCUAUAUUGUCCAUUUCCAUAGCUUUGAGGGUUGGUGUGAUAACAGCACUUAAUGGGGGUUUCUGUUAUUUUUUUUUUAAAACAGCAGAUUUUAGGUUUUCUCUUUAAAUGGAAGUUUAGGAGGGGUCUGUUCUGACAGAGGAAUAAGUUCCCUGAGAAUUCACUUUUGAAAAAUUUGGUUGUUUUAGAAGUCUGUCUCUGAGGCCCUUAGUAUCCAAAGGAGUCCGUGAAAGUCAGAGGUUGCCAUGGGAAUGGCAGCUGCCAGGAGACAGGCUAUUGUGUUUAGAUUCUUGUAUUAAUAACACCCUCCCCAGCAGCCAGAAAUACCUGUUGAAAGAGGAGAGGUUCUUUUCUUCUUAUUCAAGAAGAGUUUGGAAAGUUACUUUCCUCUGCCUUGAAGAGGGUCAGGGGUUUGUGGUUAGGUGUACAAGUGACUGUUUUUUCUCCUCUUGCCCAAGGUGAAGCAAGAGAACUCAGUUGGAACCUUGGAUCCUCCUAGCUGAUCAGAAGACUAGAGAGGAAAAACAAACUUAGAUGACUCCUCCUCCAGCAUAUCUAAGGGGGACAAAAGCCAUACUGGCCAUGGGGAGACCCUGGAUGAGUGUUGAUACCAAGCUGACCUGAAUUCCAGGCUCAAGUUGUAGAUGUGUGUUCUCCCCUGGGGAGGAGUUACUUACAAGGAUUCUGGGGAGGUUGUUAGCAGCCUACUUUCCACUUCAGUGGAAAGAGCAUUGGAUUCCAUGCAUCUCCUAGCUGCAUGACAGGGAAAGAAAAGGAAAAAGAGGAGAGGACUAGUUUUAGUUGAAUAUUAUACGUACCACAAGUUAGAUGUUGUGUUAGGUGCAGGGAAAUAAAAAUCACUAAGGCAGAAUUUGUACUUGCAAGGAGUUCUCUGUCUCGAGGCAAGCAUGGAAUCAGAAAUGGCAAGUGGUAGUCAUUUUGUUUGCUGACUGGAUUGCUGUGAUGAGUGUUUUCUGCGGGGAGGAAGGGAUGGAUGUCAUUUGGUAUGUCUGGAUCUAAAUAAACAAUACCAUGAUUUCCACUGCUCAGGAGAGUUGUGUGUGGUGCCCUGUGGAUGGUGCAGGUGAGACGUCCAAAGACAGCAUCGCUCACACUGCUCAGGACGGAUGAGGUACUGAAGGAGGCCAGAUUGGAGGAGCCAGCCUGGGCAGGGCUGUGGCUGUUUCAGGGCAAGAUGGGGCCUCCACGUGAAAAGUAACUACAAAACAGAACCAGAAAAUAGUCAUGCUGUUCAAAUAAAGAGACUGUGGCUCAGAAAAUACAAGCAACUUAUAAAAGAGAAAUAUCUGGACCACAAAGAGUCAACUCAUAGCUUUAUCUAAGGCUCCAGGGCUCUGAAGGUCAUGGGUGAACAAUUUUUUUAAUGAAGGAAAAUAAAUGAAUUAACGUGGUGACUUGUCCAGUUAAGCCAAAGAAGCCACACCAAGUGUUAGAGGACCACAGAGGAACCAGAGAGGAUCUGGGAAACCACCCAGGUGUUCAUUGUCUCCAAAGAGCUAAACCUUGCCUCAGAAAAAUGACCUUCUCCUAUCUUUCCUGCUGCAGCAAGAACCUCUGGUUUAACCAAUUAGCCUUACUGAAGUCUGCCCUGGGGACAAAUUGGAAACCUAUAACCUUAGGACAGCAAGGUAAGGAGAGCCAAUGCACAGCCCCUUCACUUCUCUGGCCCCUCAGUCCCCUCUUGUCUUAAUUGGGCAGUGUGGGUCAAACGCUGCACACGUCCCUUCUGAUUCUGCACGCAGUGUUCUUUCUACAUCUUGGCUGUACAGAGAGUUCCAUUUUUCACCCCCAUGAGAGGGGGGUGGGGCAAAACACUGAAGGAAUCUUUCAAAGACCCUCCACCUGACCCCUGUCUGAACAAAUAAUUAAUCUCCUGAAAAAGCAGCUCGCUGAUGGGUCCAGGCUGUGCCUGUGGAUUUAUGAGGUGACGUCAGUUUGAAGACUGGGAUGCAGAGCCUGAGCUGUGUUUCACACACUCCUCAAUUGUUUUAACGGACCUGCUCCUGAAGGCCUCCAAAUCUUUCCCCAAGCUAAGCUUUAUUAAAAUGGCAAAGAUGGAGAGGAGUGCUUUUCCAGAUAAAUCAGCUUACUUAGGCUCUGCUCCCUCCCCUCCCCCUGUCUACUGGAAAGCACUCCCAGAGGGAAGGAAAUGAAGAACUGCAAAGUACUUGCAGGUACAUGCUUAAUGCCUUAAACUCUAGCAUUGUGUUAACAGCUAUUCAUGGACUGGACUUUAAAGAAAUAGAUGGAUUCUCAAUCUGCCCAAUUUAAAUAAUCCUUAAGAGAGAACUAAGGAGGAAGAUUAAUGUCCUUAGUAACUAAAUGACACACCAGAGUUUAGCCUGGAGGCUGGGUCUCUGCACUGACUAUCACAGUGCAAUUCCUUGAGAGGAUCCAGAUAAAACUGGGUUUAAAAUGAAGGUG